UGUGAGCGCUCAGCCAGGUCUGUUCUGUGAGUGCUCAGCCAGGUUCUGUGGGCGCUCAGCCGGGUCUGUUCUGUGAGCGCUCAGCCAGGUUGUUUGGAAUUUGGGCGGGACGAAGAAGGAGCUGACGAGCUCGGACUUCUCGCCCCGCAGCCCUGGAAGACGUUCCAAGGGUGUUGGGGCCCGACUUUUCGGGGCCCAAUCUGGGAGAGGAGAAAGAUCCGGACUAACGGCACCUCUGUCUGUAUUUUUGGCUUUCAGAGGGCCCCGGACCUUUGCCACCUCCAUCUGACUUUUUGCUUUCAGUUUGGUACCAAAGCCGUGCAGCACGCCUGUCUGUUGUUUGUUUGACUGUUGGUGUUGUUUGUUUUCUCUGUGUUCUAAUCUUCCUUAGAACUAACAUGG
ensembl:lncRNA